GGCCACAGCCAUAUCAACAUGCAGUCCAAAACCGGUUAAUCACUAAAGCUAAGUAGGGCUGUGGCUGUUCAGUACCUGGAUGGGAGACCACAUGGAAAAACUAGGUUGCUGUGGGGA
rnacentral:rRNA from 1 species